GAGCGAACGCUGGCGGCAGGCUUAACACAUGCAAGUCGAGCGGGCAUCCUUGUGGUGUCAGCGGCAGACGGGUGAGUAACGCGUGGGAACGUGCCCUUCGGUUCGGAAUAACUCAGGGAAACUUGAGCUAAUACCGGAUACGUGCGAGAGCAGAAAGGUUUAUCUGCCGAAGGAUCGGCCCGCGUCUGAUUAGCUAGUUGGUGAGGUUAUGGCUCACCAAGGCGACGAUCAGUAGCUGGUCUGAGAGGAUGAUCAGCCACACUGGGACUGAGACACGGCCCAGACUCCUACGGGAGGCAGCAGUGGGGAAUAUUGGACAAUGGGGGCAACCCUGAUCCAGCCAUGCCGCGUGAGUGAUGACGGCCUUAGGGUUGUAAAGCUCUUUUCUCCGGGACGAUAAUGACGGUACCGGAGGAAUAAGCCCCGGCUAACUUCGUG
rnacentral:rRNA from 1 species